GCAAAACCACAAAAUUGGUUGGAUAGGGCUCGCUACAGUGAUCCGGAUCACGGGCUCCUCUGUCCCGCCGGCCGCAGAGCGGGCAGAGCCGCGCGCGCGCCCCACCGCCACGCACCUGCUUGCUGGCCACGUCACCGCGCGACGUGGACGCCCGCGACCCCUUCGACUCGUCCUCUUGAGCGCCCCCGCGACCGACAUCGAGUUUCUUCGUUUCUGCGACCGAAAACGCCACGCCGAUGGAAUUCAUCUCGCUCCUCCCACCUCAGCCCCGUUGCUCUUUUCCUCUGCUCCGCAGCAUCCUUUAGCGUCGUAUAAGCCAGCUAAUACUCGCUUCCCUCGUCGGACUCGGCCAUGAGCCGGUUUCCCGUCACAGAGCUCCGUCAUGGCCGCCAUGGGAGCCUGCGCACGUGGCUAGGAGGCCAUAAACCUUCUCCGGCCAAGCCACACACACCAGCGCGAGCGCGCGAGCCUCAGGAUGCUCCCCAACGCUUUCUCUCACUGCCAUCAAGCGUCCACCGGCCGGAAAUGAGGUUUUCUCCGACAUCCUCUGCUCUGGAUUCGCGACCAGGGACUUCGCGCGACAAUUUGAUGUUCUCCAGGGGUCUAAUUGCAUAGACUGUGACUCAGGUGAAUAGUGCUAUAAGGACUUGUUUGUAGAUGCUUUGUUGAAUCUUUGAAAAUUCAUAUCUGGAGUUUGGUAACUCCAAUUUUGGUGAACCAAAUUUUGUUGUGCUCCAUGAGAUGUCUAGUUUUUAUUAAAAAUAUUAAACUGGCCAUGUUUUGUAAUAAAAUAAUUAGUUAUGAUUUAUGUCUUUUAAUUAUGUUUAAAAGGGAGAAAUUCAUAUCUCAUUCUGUGUAGCUCCUAUGGGCCUGAAAUUUUUAUGGUGUUCUCAUGAUGUUAUUUGAAUGUUGCAGUAAAAAUUUCAUGUUCAGUAGAUGAUAUAUGUUUAAGUUAUUAAUUUAUCUUGUUUAAUGCUUAUUAAAUAGUUUACAAUUAAAGUAAAAAUAAAUAAAUAUAAAAUAUGGUUCCUCUGGUUUUAUAUGAAAUUGUUAUAUCAUAUAGAUACAUAAUUUAGCUAUGUGUUUGUAGAAAAUGUCGAGUUUUUUAUUUAUCUUGCUGUUACAUGCGUUCUUGUGAUGGAAAUUUAUUUUUUUUAUGGAAAUUGCUAUACUUAUCCAAAUGGCAUGAAACUUAUACAGUAGACUUUGGAGAGCAUAUAUGAGCUGCUGUAGUUUUCUCAGAAUUUACUGUAUACUUUUGAUACAUGGUUAUUACUUUGUCUAUUUACCUAAAUAAAUUAAUAAAGACAUGAAAGGAAUUUAUUUAGGGAUGACCAUGAUGUUUUCUAGUAUCUCUUUGAUGUAUUUCAACUAUUGGUGAACUGGGUUUUGCCCAGGUCCAAGUUUGAAAUAUAAAUGAAAUGUUAUUUGUCUAUAAUUAAAUUAUUAGUGAUUUCUGGAUCAGUUUCUGUAGUUGUGCAAUUUCGACCUACUAAACUUGUGAAUCAUGAUUUGAUGAUGAAAGAUAAAUUGUAGUAAUUUUCAUAAGCUUUCCAAAAUGUUAUGGAUCAUGACGUUUGGUGAUCUAGAACUCUGGUUAUAGAGGUAUAAAGCUUAAUGUCUGAUUCUGUCCAAAGUCUGGACAGAAUUGUUUAUUCAUGCUGUUUGGCUAUUUUAUCUUUUAAAUCAGUUCUCGAAGAUAAUAACAAAGUUGUAGAAAAUUAUCUAAGCUUUCCAGAAAGUCUAAUAUCAUCUUUAUUGGAUGUUUGGAUCUCUAAUUAUGGUUGAAUGAAGUUGUGUAUAUGCUGCUGUCCUGGUUAUGUGUGCAAAUAGAGUUGUUUGUUUUUAGCUAGCCUUUACUUAAAUAAUGAGUUGCUUAAUUUCCAAAUUAGAAUUUGAGUGCUUUUGAGAUUGUGUGAUGACCUAAGGUCAUUAACAUUAAUGACCUUUGGCACUUAAUUAUUGUUUGAUGUUAAUACUUAAUUACUGCCAUUAAUAUUUAAUUAAGAAUUGAUUAAGAUAAAUAGAAAACCUAAUCAUUUUAGGUUUUGAUUGGUCUUUGGGAUUGAUUGACAACUAGUGGUUACUUGGCAUGAGAUCUACACAACCUUGCUUAAUGAAGAUGAUAAAAUUUGUUUAGUAGUAAUCUAUGUUUUGAUAACUAAGUUAGUUUGUUUCUAUACCGUGAAGGUAAGUUGUACUCGAGGCAGUUAUGUUUGUUGUUAUCAUCCAAGAACUUAACCUGUCUUUAUCAUGUCAUGAACAUCUCAUUGAUCAUGCAUAUGCACCUCUACGUGCAGACUACGCUCCGGAGGAAUCUAAUCCUCAGUGGGUUGCUUCCGAGUUUGUGGAUCCAUCUGGUUUUGCUGAGUUGUCGGACUUCCCUUCCGGUCAAGGCAAGCCCCGGACAUUAAACCCUAUCCUUGUAUUUUCAUAAAGUUAUUUAUAUCACUUGAGUUAAUAUGAUGCAUUAGGUGAAUAGGAGUUGAGUGAAUCCUAUUUGCUGCAUUAUCUACCUUGAUGAUUUCCAUAUUAACCUUGAUACUUGUUUUAUGAAAAUACUUAGUAUGCUUAGCCCUGCUUAUUAGAUAGGUUUUCAAAUGAGAAAGUUUGAAGGGUUGUUGUGGAAUAUUUUUAUGGUCAAUAAUGUUUCAACUUGAGACCGAUCGGUGGACUUGCUUUAAGAAUGGAGUCUUAAAGUAGUGUCUCCAACUGUGUCGAUUAAGGACCGUACCGUUGUUGGCCUGUUGUGAUUGAGACCUUUGAGUAUAGCCCACAUGCGGUGGUAAGCCUUACCUAUAGCUAUUCCGAUACUUGAGAACGGCUAACCGCGUACUGGGAGUGGAGAGAUGGCGAGAGUAGCGUGUACCCACCUUACGGAUCUGAGAUGAUCGGGAAACAUCUAGAUUGGCUGUAGGAUGGUGGUGUACUGUACUCUCGGGUGACGCUGGACCCGUUCUUGUAUGGGAGGAUCUAUAGAAACAGGUUGACAUAUGCAAGAUUAAGUUCUACAUAUGUCGUGUGGUACUGAAUCCCCAGCUGGGUUUAAUCGAUUCGAAUCGCCGUGUUUCCUCGGAUAUGGAGCCUCAAUUCUCACCCCAUCAUCGUAGUAAUAAAUGGAUCUUUGGUAAGAGAAAGUGGUGGUAUGCUUAUGAAAGUUUGAUAAUAAUUUUGGUUAGUCAUAAAUGAUGAUCUUGAGUUAAAACUUGAAAGUAGGUUUUACUCUUAGUAAGCUUUUAUGCAAAAGAAAUGCUUUAUCUUGAUAAAGAUUUACCUUGAAUCCCUAUAGCCUGCAUACAUGAGUCUUCACCUCUUUUCUAGUCGGUUAAGUCUUGUUGAGUACUUUUGUACUCAGGGUUUUAUAACCCCUGUUGCAGGUGCUGACUUAGACUGCUUUUGGAGGUCAUGUCGGUGGGCGCGACAUGAUUUAUCCACCUCUUCUACCUUAGAAGCUUCACCUAAGAUGCUUUCGCUACUAUACACACCUUUUGGAAAUUUAGUUGUUUAUAUUCCAUCAUAUGUUGUAAGUUGAGUUAUAAAUCUUCCGCACUCUGAUGUAAGUUAUUUUUGUAACAAAUGUUGUAAUGUUGUGGUAACUCCAUGUUGAUCCUGUAUGAGUUAAAACGUGGAUGAUUCGGGUUUCCCGAGGACACCCGACAGACUUCUUGAGUCAUUUGGAACUCGUGCAAACCGAUCAGAAGUCUUUGAGACAAUGAUAGGUGCAUGUGGGCCACUUAAUUCAGGAGGUUCUGCCACAUUGGACAAUAUUUGUCAAAUACAAACGAAAGUGCUACAGUGUCGAUUUUGCAAAAUUUUUUAGAACUAAACAAGGCCUAUGUAGAAAUUGGCAGUACUCCUACUUGAUUGGUGAAGGAAAAACGGCUAAGGAGG
rnacentral:lncRNA from 1 species